rnacentral:rRNA from 1 species
UACGUAGGCAGCAAGCGUUGUUCGGAGUUACUGGGCGUAAAGAGUGCGUAGGUGGUGCCCUAAGUCUGUUGUGAAAUCUCCCGGCUUAACUGGGAGGGUGCGGUGGAAACUGGGGUGCUUGAGUGUGGGAGAGGUAAGCGGAAUUCCUGGUGUAGCGGUGAAAUGCGCAGAUAUCAGGAAGAACACCCGUGGCGAAGGCGGUUCUCUGGGACGGUACUGACGCUGAGACGCGAAAGCGUGGGGAGCGAACAGG